rnacentral:SRP_RNA from 1 species
GCUGGGUGUGGUGGCGCUUGCCUGUAGUCCCAGCUACUUGGGAGGCUGAGGCAGGAGGAUUACUUGAACCCAGGAGGUCGAGGCUGCAGUGAGCCGAGAUGGUGCUACUGCACUCCAGCCUGGGUGACAAAAUAAGACCCUGUCUCAA